rnacentral:rRNA from 1 species
AGAGUUUGAUCCUGGCUCAGGACGAACGCUGGCGGCGUGCUUAACACAUGCAAGUCGAACGGAAAGGCCCUUCGGGGUACUCGAGUGGCGAACGGGUGAGUAACACGUGGGUGAUCUGCCCUGCACUCUGGGAUAAGCCUGGGAAACUGGGUCUAAUACCGGAUAGGACCGCAUGCUUCAUGGUGUGUGGUGCAAAGCUUUUGCGGUGUGGGAUGAGCCCGCGGCCUAUCAGCUUGUUGGUGGGGUAAUGGCCUACCAAGACGACGACGGGUAGCCGGCCUGAGAGGGUGACCGGCCACACUGGGACUGAGAUACGGCCCAGACUCCUACGGGAGGCAGCAGUGGGGAAUAUUGCACAAUGGGCGCAAGCCUGAUGCAGCGACGCCGCGUGAGGGAUGACGGCCUUCGGGUUGUAAACCUCUUUCAGUAGGGACGAAGCGAAAGUGACGGUACCUACAGAAGAAGGACCGGCCAACUACGUGCCAGCAGCCGCGGUAAUACGUAGGGUCCGAGCGUUGUCCGGAAUUACUGGGCGUAAAGAGCUCGUAGGUGGUUUGUCGCGUUGUUCGUGAAAACUCACAGCUUAACUGUGGGCGUGCGGGCGAUACGGGCAGACUAGAGUACUGCAGGGGAGACUGGAAUUCCUGGUGUAGCGGUGGAAUGCGCAGAUAUCAGGAGGAACACCGGUGGCGAAGGCGGGUCUCUGGGCAGUAACUGACGCUGAGGAGCGAAAGCGUGGGUAGCGAACAGGAUUAGAUACCCUGGUAGUCCAA